rnacentral:rRNA from 1 species
AGAGUUUGAUCAUGGCUCAGGAUGAACGCUGGCGGUCUGCUUAACACAUGCAAGUCGAACGAAUCCCUUUGGGGAUUAGUGGCGGACGGGUGAGUAACGCGUGAGAAUCUGCCUUUUGGUCGGGGACAACCACUGGAAACGGUGGCUAAUACCGGAUAAGCCUGCGGGUAAAAGAUUAAUUGCCAAGAGAGGAGCUCGCGUCUGAUUAGCUAGUUGGUGAGGUAAAGGCUCACCAAGGCGGCGAUCAGUAGCUGGUCUGAGAGGAUGAUCAGCCACACUGGGACUGAGACACGGCCCAGACUCCUACGGGAGGCAGCAGUGGGGAAUUUUCCGCAAUGGGCGAAAGCCUGACGGAGCAAGACCGCGUGAGGGAGGAAGGCUCUUGGGUUGUAAACCUCUUUUGUCAGGGAAGAACACAAUGACGGUACCUGAAGAAUCAGCAUCGGCUAACUCCGUGCCAGCAGCCGCGGUAAUACGGAGGAUGCAAGCGUUAUCCGGAAUUAUUGGGCGUAAAGCGUCCGCAGGUGGCACUUCAAGUCUGCUGUCAAAGACCGGGGCUUAACCCUGGAAAGGCAGUGGAAACUGAAGCGCUAGAGUGUGGCAGGGGCAGAGGGAAUUCCUGGUGUAGCGGUGAAAUGCGUAGAGAUCAGGAAGAACACCGGUGGCGAAAGCGCUCUGCUAGGCCGCAACUGACACUGAGGGACGAAAGCUAGGGGAGCGAAUGGGAUUAGAUACCCCCGUAGUCC